UGGGGAAUAUUGGACAAUGGGGGCAACCCUGAUCCAGCCAUGCCGCGUGAGUGAUGAAGGCCUUCGGGUUGUAAAGCUCUUUUGGCGGGGACGAUGAUGACGGUACCCGCAGAAUAAGCCCCGGCUAACUUCGUGCCAGCAGCCGCGGUAAGACGAAGGGGGCUAGCGUUGUUCGGAAUUACUGGGCGUAAAGCGAGUGUAGGUGGUCGUCCAAGUUGGAUGUGAAAGCCUUGAGCUCAACUCAAGAAAUGCAUUCAGGACUGAAUGACUAGAGGACCGGAGAGGAUAGUGGAAUUCCCAGUGUAGUGGUGAAAUACGUAGAGAUUGGGAAGAACACCAGUGGCGAAGGCGGCUAUCUGGACGGUUUCUGACACUAAGACUCGAAAGCGUGGGGAGCAAACAGG
rnacentral:rRNA from 1 species